UACGUAGGGCGCAAGCGUUGUCCGGAAUUAUUGGGCGUAAAGAGCUCGUAGGCGGCUUGUCACGUCGGGUGUGAAAGCCCGGGGCUUAACCCCGGGUCUGCAUUCGAUACGGGCUAGCUAGAGUGUGGUAGGGGAGAUCGGAAUUCCUGGUGUAGCGGUGAAAUGCGUAGAUAUCUGGAGGAACACCGGUGGCGAAGGCGGCAUUCUGGACCAUUACUGACGCUGAGGAGCGAAAGCCAGGGGAGCAAACGGG
rnacentral:rRNA from 1 species